rnacentral:misc_RNA from 1 species
GAUGAAGAACGUAGCGAAAUGCGAUAAGUAAUGUGAAUUGCAGAAUUCAGUGAAUCAUCGAAUCUUUGAACGCACAUUGCGCCCUCUGGUAUUCCGGGGGGCAUGCCUGUUCGAGCGUCAUUAUAACCACUCAAGCUCUCGCUUGGUAUUGGGGCUCGCGGUUCCGCGGCCCCUAAAAUCAGUGGCGGUGCCUGUCGGCUCUACGCGUAGUAAUACUCCUCGCGAUUGAGUCCGGUAGGUCUACUUGCCAGCAACCCCCCAAUUUUUACAGGUUGACCUCGGAUCAGGUAGGGAUACCCGCUGAACUUAAGCAUAUCAAUAAGCGGAGGA